AAUCAGACAUUCCAAAACGAAAGUAGGACCAGUUCCACGUUUCCGUCAGUAUAUACCAUUACUAGUAAUGAUAUCUCGGUCAACACUGUAGAUGAAGAAAACACUGUCAUGGUUGCUUCGGCCUCAGUCAGUCAGUCCCAGCUUCCAGGAUUAGGCAGAAUCUGAAGGAAAAGCAUGCUCGACACAUAGCAGAUCUUCGAGCUUAUUAUGAAUCAGAAAUAAAUAGUUUGAAACAGAAGCUGGAGGCAAAAGAAAUCUCUGGAGUUGAAGAUUGGAAGAUAACCAAUCAAAUUCUUGUAGACAGAUGUGGCCAAUUAGAUAGUGCUUUGCAUGAAGCUACUAGUCGCGUGAGAACACUUGAAAAUAAGAAUAACUUACUGGAAAUUGAAGUGAAUGAUUUGAGAGAACGCUUCAGUGCAGCCAGCAGUGCUUCCAAAAUUUUGCAGGAACGAAUUGAAGAAAUGAGAACAAGCAGUAAAGAAAAA
rnacentral:lncRNA from 1 species